rnacentral:rRNA from 1 species
GGGUUGUCAUGCCAAUGGCACUGCCCGGUAGCUAAAUGCGGAAGAGAUAUGUGCUGAAAGCAUCUAAGCACGAAACUUGCCCCGCGAUGAGUUCUCCCUGAGACUAUAAGUAUCAUGAAGGAACGUUGAAGACGACGCCGUUGAUAGGCCGGGUGUGUAAGCGCAGCGAUGCGUUGAGCUAACCGGUACUAAUGAACCGUGAGGCUUAACCUUACAACGCCGAAG